GACCUCUACCCAAGAAGAAACUGACGCUUUCUGACUUGAGACUCUAAAUGGUCAGGGAGUGGAUCGAUGAUACUCUGUACUGUAUAUCCCUGAGACUUUGUAUUUGCACCGUGUGUGUGGAAGAAGGCCUGCUUUCACUAGCAGAUUCCACAGUAGUCUGUCUUCCCUGUUGGCUUGUCUCACAGGGAAGAGGAUAGGUGUCUCUGUGAAACCUUGUUCUUUUGAAGAUGAAGUAUUCACGUACCUGAUAAACUCCCAAAGUGAACUGUUUUCGCUGAUUACUCUCCUGAAGCAGAGCCUCUCACAGCCCAGGCUGGCACGGCAGCUGCUCUGCGUCUUGAACGACUUAUUCUCCUGCAUCUGCCACUUACAGUGCUGGGGUUGGCUACCUGGUGAACCACCAUGCUUGUUUUAUGCAGUGCUGGGGACCAGUGUGAGCCUUGGCUUGCCGUGCAAGCAGUUUGCCAGCCAUGCUCGCUACUGCAGGGAAAGAGAACUAGCAUUGCGUUUCGUGGGAAGCACACCGGCGUGCUUAUCAUCUCUUUUGGCCUGACAUUAUCUUCAUUAAUUUAAUAAACGUACGGAAGCAGAAUCGAGUCUACAGAGAGUUAGGCAUAGGUUACUUAUGCCAGCAAACCGAUCCUCCUUCAUAACGAGCCAUUUUCAACCUGCACAUGUGGACAUGGUUAUCCAGAAUGCUAGUG
rnacentral:lncRNA from 1 species